GGGCGGGUGUUGAAAUUGGCAGACAAGAUAGACUUAGGAUCUAUUGGGAUUUUUCCCGUGAGGGUUCGAGUCCCUCCUCGCCCA
rnacentral:tRNA from 1 species